UACGUAGGGUGCGAGCGUUGUCCAGAAUUAUUGGGCGUAAAGGGCUCGUAGGCGGUCUGUUACGUCGGGAGUGAAAACUCUGGGCUUAACCCAGAGCCGCCACUCGAUACUGCUCUGACUUGAGUACGGUAGGGGAGCAGGGAAUUCCUAGUGUAGCGGUGAAAUGCGCAGAUAUUAGGAGGAACACCGGUGGCGAAGGCGCUGCUCUGGGCCGAAACUGACGCUGAGGAGCGAAAGCGUGGGGAGCAAACAGG
rnacentral:rRNA from 1 species